AGAGUUUGAUCAUGGCUCAGAUUGAACGCUGGCGGCAGGCCUAACACAUGCAAGUCGAGCGGUAGCACAGAGAGCUUGCUCUCGGGUGACGAGCGGCGGACGGGUGAGUAAUGUCUGGGAAGCUGCCUGAUGGAGGGGGAUAACUACUGGAAACGGUAGCUAAUACCGCAUAAUGUCGCAAGACCAAAGUGGGGGACCUUCGGGCCUCAUGCCAUCAGAUGUGCCCAGAUGGGAUUAGCUAGUAGGUGGGGUAAUGGCUCACCUAGGCGACGAUCCCUAGCUGGUCUGAGAGGAUGACCAGCCACACUGGAACUGAGACACGGUCCAGACUCCUACGGGAGGCAGCAGUGGGGAAUAUUGCACAAUGGGCGCAAGCCUGAUGCAGCCAUGCCGCGUGUGUGAAGAAGGCCUUCGGGUUGUAAAGCACUUUCAGCGGGGAGGAAGGCGUUAAGGUUAAUAACCUUGGCGAUUGACGUUACCCGCAGAAGAAGCACCGGCUAACUCCGUGCCAGCAGCCGCGGUAAUACGGAGGGUGCAAGCGUUAAUCGGAAUUACUGGGCGUAAAGCGCACGCAGGCGGUCUGUCAAGUCGGAUGUGAAAUCCCCGGGCUCAACCUGGGAACUGCAUUCGAAACUGGCAGGCUAGAGUCUUGUAGAGGGGGGUAGAAUUCCAGGUGUAGCGGUGAAAUGCGUAGAGAUCUGGAGGAAUACCGGUGGCGAAGGCGGCCCCCUGGACAAAGACUGACGCUCAGGUGCGAAAGCGUGGGGAGCAAACAGGAUUAGAUACCCUGGUAGUCCACGCCGUAAACGAUGUCGAUUUGGAGGUUGUGCCCUUGAGGCGUGGCUUCCGGAGCUAACGCGUUAAAUCGACCGCCUGGGGAGUACGGCCGCAAGGUUAAAACUCAAAUGAAUUGACGGGGGCCCGCACAAGCGGUGGAGCAUGUGGUUUAAUUCGAUGCAACGCGAAGAACCUUACCUGGUCUUGACAUCCACAGAACUUAGCAGAGAUGCUUUGGUGCCUUCGGGAACUGUGAGACAGGUGCUGCAUGGCUGUCGUCAGCUCGUGUUGUGAAAUGUUGGGUUAAGUCCCGCAACGAGCGCAACCCUUAUCCUUUGUUGCCAGCGGUUCGGCCGGGAACUCAAAGGAGACUGCCAGUGAUAAACUGGAGGAAGGUGGGGAUGACGUCAAGUCAUCAUGGCCCUUACGACCAGGGCUACACACGUGCUACAAUGGCAUAUACAAAGAGAAGCGACCUCGCGAGAGCAAGCGGACCUCAUAAAGUAUGUCGUAGUCCGGAUUGGAGUCUGCAACUCGACUCCAUGAAGUCGGAAUCGCUAGUAAUCGUAGAUCAGAAUGCUACGGUGAAUACGUUCCCGGGCCUUGUACACACCGCCCGUCACACCAUGGGAGUGGGUUGCAAAAGAAGUAGGUAGCUUAACCUUCGGGAGGGCGCUUACCACUUUGUGAUUCAUGACUGGGGUGAAGUCGUAACAAGGUAACCGUAGGGGAACCUGCGGUUGGAUCACCU
rnacentral:rRNA from 1 species